CAUUAUUGAGAGACGGGGUCUGUCCGGCCUCCACUCUUCACCCAUGAUAACCAACUAUGUUGCUUUGGCGGGCCAUCGAGCCUUUGCGCCCGACGUCGGCGAGAGGACUGCUUCUCGCCCGCCGAGUGCCCGCCGAAGGUUUGUCCAAAUGCUAUUUCAGUCGUCCGAGCCCUCCCAACAAUCAAUUAAAACUUUCAACAACGGAUCUCUUGGUUCUGGCAUCGAUGAAGAACGCAGCGAAAUGCGAUAAGUAAUGUGAAUUGCAGAAUUCAGUGAAUCAUCGAAUCUUUGAACGCACAUUGCGCCCCUUGGUACUCCGAGGGGCAUGCCUGUCCGAGCGUCAUUGCAACCCUCAAGCACUGCUUGGUAUUGGGCCCCGCCUGCACGGCGUGCCCGAAAUUCAGUGGCGGUUCACCGAGACCUUAAGCGUAGUAAGAUCCUGCAUCUCGCUUGAGCUGGCUCUGGGCUGGACCUGCCAACAAACCUUCACUAUUUUUACACGAACUGACCUCGGAUCAGGUAGGGAUACCCGCUGAACUUAAGCAUAUCAAUAAGCGGAGGAAAAGAAACCAACCGGGAUUGCCCUAGUAACGGCGAG
rnacentral:misc_RNA from 1 species